ACUGGGAUUCCUCCCCUCCGGUUCAUGUGUAGUUCAGGCCCUGCUGUGAUUUUACUUCUUAGCCUUGUGACGAUUGAACAUCACAUAAUGGGUUUGCAGUUAUUUAUGGGAUGUAUGUGUUCAUGGAGAUGAGAAAGUUGGUAAUAAUGUUUCUGAUUUCCUUGAUCUCGAUCCCCUGCAAUAAUAUUUUCUUUUCCUCUGUCUUACGGAACUGUACGACAGUAUAAAGGAUAGAUUCAGAGGGGGUGAAGUCUAAAUUACACCCACCAUCUGGCAUCAGAGGAUUUAGAAAGAGACUGGACCAGAAGGAAUUAUUCUGCAGCCCUCAGUCCACGUGAUUUGGCCCCCCCAAACUGGACAGGACUCCCAAAUUUGAUACCAGUCCUCGAAAAGACGGAAUGUUGCUCAGAGAGUUGGAAGUUUUGGCUCCUGUCCCGUUCCACUCCAGACAGGCAAAAUUAGCACCACAUUUUUCAUAGUAAUUGUUGUGUGGUAUCGCGUUGCAUGAACGUGGUGCAAUUUAUCCACUGGCCCAAGGAUGGACGUGGCAACUGCUUCAAAUACUCUUUCUGACACAAGCGCUCCAACGCACGUCCUCCUGAGGGACACUGUCUGUGGGGUGCACCAAGGGAGACCCAGGAGCGCAGAGUCGCCCUGCAUCAGCAUCAUGGAAGAGACAAACAGUCCUCAGAGAACUCUUCCCACUCACACUCCCUCCUCUCCAUCCCACAGUGGACAGCAUGUUUGCCAUUUCUGCAGCCUUUGCCCUGUUUUAAUCGUGCAGACUUUCGAGUGUUACCUUUCACACUUACUUCUCAGAUCUACCUGGAAUUUAGCAUGGGGAAAUUGUCAGAAAUAUUUAAUCCGAUCUUGCAUGCAGGACCGUGCAGCUUUCUGGAGCACACACUAGCCUUUCUGCCACUCCGCAGACACAGAGCUCUCGUGGUGUAAACCCGCACGGGACAGCUUACAGGGCCUCAGCUCUCUGUUCUAGGUGUGUUUGCUUGUCUCUGCAUGGAGGUGGCCACAUUCCAAUCACCAUCCAUCCCCACAGCACCGAGGGUGCUGCCCGCUGUUCUUAGCUCUUCUGUGGAUUUGCUGAUUAAAAACUACAGUUUCACUGACUGUGCUUCGGAAUUCUGACUGGGGUAUCACGAACUUCACAAUUUAAUUUAGAGAGGCUUGAUAUCUGUUUAAAGUUGGCUCUUCCUGUAAACCCAGAACAUGUCUCCCCUUAUUCAGUUUCUUAAAAAUUCUGUUAUAGUUUUCUCAAUAAAACACAGACUCUCAUUCUAUUU